rnacentral:rRNA from 1 species
UGAGGAAUAUUGGGCAAUGCCCGCAAGGGUGACCCAGCAACGCCGCGUGGAGGAUGAAUGUCGUAAGAUUGUAAACUCCUGUUAGAGGGGAAGAAUAGUACCGGUUGGACCGGUAUAUGACUGUACCCUCAGAGAAAGCACCGGCUAACUACGUGCCAGCAGCCGCGGUAAUACGUAGGGGGCAAGCGUUGUCCGGAUUUACUGGGUGUAAAGGGCGCGCAGGCGGGAUAAAAAGUCAGUGGUGAAAUCCUACAGCUUAACUGUAGAACUGCCUUUGAUACUUUUAUUCUUGAGUUCGGGAGAGAGAGACGGAAUUCCAGGUGUAGUGGUGAAAUACGUAGAUAUCUGAAGAACACCAGUUGCGAAGGCGGUCUCUUGGUCCGACACUGACGCUGAGGCGCGAAAGCGUGGGGAGCAAACA